AUGUGCCCCGCGUCCACUGCGGUUCUGAGCGCGCUGUCCGCGCCCACCUGACAGCGGCUCGCGACGUAUUCUUGCAGCA
rnacentral:sRNA from 1 species